rnacentral:rRNA from 1 species
AUUGAACGCUGGCGGCAUGCCUAACACAUGCAAGUCGAGCGGAGCGGCGGACGGGUGAGUAAGGCCUAGGAAUCUGCCUGUUAGUGAGGGAUAACGUCCGGAAACGGGCGCUAAUACCGCAUACUAUCAGAUGAGCCUAGGUCGUAUUAGCUAGUUGGUGGGGUAAAGGCUUACCAAGGCGACGAUCCGUAACUGGUCUGAGAGGAUGAUCAGUCACACUGGAACUGAGACACGGUCCAGACUCCUACGGGAGGCAGCAGUGGGGAAUAUUGCACAAUGGGCGAAAGCCUGAUCCAGCCAUGCCGCGUGAGUGAAGAAGGUCUUCGGAUUGUAAAGCUCUGUAAGUUGGGAAGCGUUACCCACAGAAGAAGCACCGGCUAACUCCGUGCCAGCAGCCGCGGUAAUUC